GCCUCUAUAGCACAGUGGCAGUGCGCAGCACUCGUACGGAAGUCGAUGCUGAGGUCGGGUGUUCGAUCCACCCUGGAGGCA